rnacentral:rRNA from 1 species
ACGUAGGGGGCAAGCGUUAUCCGGAUUUACUGGGUGUAAAGGGAGCGUAGACGGCGAGGCAAGUCUGAUGUGAAAACCCGGGGCUCAACCCCGUGACUGCAUUGGAAACUGUUUUGCUUGAGUGCCGGAGAGGUAAGCGGAAUUCCUAGUGUAGCGGUGAAAUGCGUAGAUAUUAGGAGGAACACCAGUGGCGAAGGCGGCUUACUGGACGGCAACUGACGUUGAGGCUCGAAAGCGUGGGGAGCAAACAG